GUAGGGAAUAUUGGGCAAUGGAGGCAACUCUGACGCAGCCAUGCCGCGUGCAGGAAGAAGGCGCUACGCGUUGUAAACUGCUUUUAACCGGGAAGAAACCCCAGGACGUGUCCUGGGUUGACGGUACCGGAGGAAUAAGCACCGGCUAACUUCGUGCCAGCAGCCGCGGUAAUACGAAGGGUGCAAGCGUUAUCCGGAUUCAUUGGGUUUAAAGGGCGCGUAGGCGGAGCGUUAAGUCAGUGGUGAAAUCCUGCAGCUUAACUGUAGACUUGCCAUUGAUACUGGCGCUCUUGAGUGCGCUUGAAGUGGGCGGAAUGUGCCGUGUAGCGGUGAAAUGCUUAGAUAUGGCACAGAACACCAAUUGCGAAGGCAGCUCACUAAGGCGAUACUGACGCUGAGGCACGAAAGCGUGGGGAUCGAACAGGAUUAGAUACCCGGGUAGUCC
rnacentral:rRNA from 1 species